UACGAAGGGGGCGAGCGUUGUUCGGAUUUACUGGGCGUAAAGGGCGCGUAGGCGGCGCGAGAAGUCGAGUGUGAAAGCCCCGGGCUCAACCUGGGAAUUGCGCUCGAUACUCUUGUGCUUGAGUUCGGGAGAGGAGCGUGGAAUUCCCAGUGUAGAGGUGAAAUUCGUAGAUAUUGGGAAGAACACCGGUGGCGAAGGCGGCGCUCUGGACCGAGACUGACGCUGAGGCGCGACAGCGUGGGGAGCAAACAGG
rnacentral:rRNA from 1 species